AUUAGCCUACGGGACGCAGCAGUGAGGAAUAUUGGUCAAUGGACGAGAGUCUGAACCAGCCAAGUAGCGUGAAGGAUGACUGACCUAUGGGUUGUAAACUUCUUUUAUAUGGGAAUAAAAUGUUCCGCGUGUGGGAUUUUGUAUGUACCAUAUGAAUAAGGAUCGGCUAACUCCGUGCCAGCAGCCGCGGUAAUACGGAGGAUCCGAGCGUUAUCCGGAUUUAUUGGGUUUGAAGGGAGCGUAGGUGGAUUGUUAAGUCAGUUGUGAAAGUUUGCGGCUCAACCGUAAAAUUGCAGUUGAAACUG
rnacentral:rRNA from 1 species